GUUCUUUGGUCAAAAGAGUUGCACAUGUCAAAUGGAGGGCAGUAGAGAUGUAAUGAACAGGCAGUAUCUGAGUGACUGGUGUUUUCCAUGCGGUGAAGGCCAAUAGAAUCUACAACAAGAGAAAAAGCAACCGCCCCCAGCAACGCCUCCACUGACGACAGAUACGCCGAGGAAUAGCGGUUUGUUCCCGACAAACCGGUUCACCGACAACCGGUUCGCCAACAACCCUAGACGUCGCCGACAAUCCUGGACGUUUCGCCGACAACCCUUGGCUUUUCGCCGAUACGUUUUAUUGCAGCAUAGAUUGCUACAAACAUGUUAUAUAAUUUUAACUAAACUCAAAUCCUUCUUGCAUUUGAAGCGGCAAAACAAGAAGACAUAAAUUAUUAUUUUUCACGUUUUAAUAAAUGUUUCACGCGUAACUAAGCAUUAACUUACAAAUCUAACAAGACAAAUCUAACAAGCUUUUAUUAGAUACUACAAAAACAAUAAUCUGUAUCUCACAAGCUUUUAUUAGAUACUAGUUGUUUGGGGUAAGCGUUAGAGCUUAAGUCGAACAUUGCGUGUUUGAGAUUAUAUUUUUGUCGGCUGGGGUUAUAUUCAUCCCGGCUUGUUGUCACUUGAGUUUGAGAAUACUUUCUUGGCUGUUUCGCGUGCCUAAGGGGAUUCGCAAAGCAAAAACUUACAAUAAGUAAUCUGUAUCUCACAAGCUUUUAUUAGAUACUAGUUGUUUGGGGGUAAACGUUAGAGCUUAACCCUAUUCAGACCGGGGGUGGGGGGGGCUUUUGAGGCCCCCAACACCUUUGAGCUGUAAUAAUUUUUUAACUAAUAGGGCUAGAGCAUUGAAAUUUGAUGACUUUUCCUAAAAUU